rnacentral:rRNA from 1 species
AUACCCAGCAAUGGGUGAUGGCGACCGGCGGAAGGGUGCGUAACGCGUGAGCAACAUACCCUAUACAGGGGGAUAAGCCAGGGAAACUUGGUCUAAUAUCCCAUAGGAAAUAGAUAAGGCAUCUUAUUUAUUUUAAAGCUUCGGUGGUAUAGGAUUGGCUCGCGUGACAUUAGCUAGAUGGAGGGGUAACGGCCCACCAUGGCAAUGAUGUCUAGGGGUUCUGAGAGGAAGAUCCCCCACACUGGGACUGAGACACGGCCCAGACUCCUACGGGAGGCAGCAGUGAGGAAUAUUGGACAAUGGAUGGAAAUCUGAUCCAGCCAUGCCGCGUGCAGGAAGACGGCCCUAUGGGUUGUAAACUGCUUUUAUACGGGAGCAAUAAGGUCUAUGCAUAGAUUGAUGAGAGUACCGUAUGAAUAAGCAUCGGCUAACUCCGUGCCAGCAGCCGCGGUAAUACGGAGGAUGCGAGCGUUAUCCGGAUUUAUUGGGUUUAAAGGGUGCGUAGGUGGCUUUGUAAGUCAGCGGUGAAAUUUUGCAGCUUAACUGUAAAAGCGCCGUUGAUACUGUGAAGCUAGGAUUUGGUUGCUGUGGGCGGAAUGUGUGGUGUAGCGGUGAAAUGCAUAGAGAUCACACAGAAUAUCGAUUGCGAAGGCAGCUCACAAAGCCAAUAUUGACGCUGAGGCACGAAAGUGUGGGGAUCAAACAGGAUUA